GUGCCAGCAGCCGCGGUAAUACAGAGACCUCAAGCGUUAUCCGGAAUCAUUGGGCGUAAAGCGUACCGAUAGGUGGUUUAUUAAGUCUGGGGUAAAAGCCGGAAGCUCAACUUCCGCGUUUGCUUUAGAUACUAAUAGACUAGAGGGGCAAAGAGGUGCUUGGAACCAACGGUGUAGUAGUGAAAUGCGUUGAUAUCGUUGGGAACACCGAAAGCGAAGGCAGAGCACUGGGUGCCACCUGACACUGCUAGGACGAAAGCGUGGGUAGCGAAUGGGAUUAGAUACCCCAGUAGUCC
rnacentral:rRNA from 1 species